rnacentral:pre_miRNA from 1 species
AUACUAAUCAUCUGGGAAUUUUGUUAAAAUGCAACAUCUGAUGAUUCCAUGGGUUGGUCUGAGGUGGUGCCUGAAAUCCUGAUUUUCUAAGAAGCUUCCAGGUGAUGUUGUU